GGCGCCAUUGAACGUGAACGGCAGAGCAGAGCAGUGGACAAACAAUGUCGGAAAAACGACUGAAAAUAAGGAGUGAAAACCUCUGUUUGAGUCGCCUUGGGUGGAGAGACUUCAUCACAGAACAAGCCUGCGUGUUAAAACAAGCUUUGGAGCCGUUUUGAUUGAGGCCGGAUGCUGAGCAAACCUGUGGCGCAAAAGGUCAACUCGUUCAGCUGAGAUGGAAACACCAGCAGCCAACGUCACCUGACAGAACAAACAGGUGUCACCACUUCGUCCAUGACGUCGUCCACAAUUGCAGAGACAUUGUUAAGGAUGAGAGAGACAUUGUCCGUGAUCAGAGACAUUGUCCCUGACUCGUGGUGACUCGGUCCCUGAUUAGUUGACAUUGCCGGCGUUCAGAGAGACAUUGUCUAUGAUCUCAGAGACGUCGUCCACGAACACAAAGACAUCAUCCACGAUCGCAGAUAGAUUGUCCAUGAUCGGAGAGACAUUGUUGAGGAUGAGGGAGACAUCGUCCACGAUCAGAAACAUCCCAUGCUUCGCAGAGCUCUGCAUUGUUGAUGAUCACAGAGACAUCGUUUAUGAUCUCAGAGACAUCGUCCAUGAUCACAAAGACAGUGUUUAUGAUCAGAGACUUUGUCCAUAAUCUCAGAGACAUUGUCCACAAUCACAGAGUCUUCCUACAAUGAAGAAGUUCUUUGAGACCAGGACAGAGGCCUCCAGGUGUCACCACUUCGUCCACAACAUCAUCCACAAUCACUGAGCCUUCGUCCACGAUCGGAGAGACACUGUUGAGGAUGAGGGAGACAUCGUCCUCGAUCUGAGACAUUGUCCGUGACUCGUGGUGACUCGGUCCCCGAUAAGUCGGCAUUGCCGGCGUUCAUGGAGACAUUGUCGAUGAUCGCAGAGACUUUGUCCAUAAUCUCAGAGACAUUGUCCGCGAUCACAGAGACGUAGUCCACGAUCGCAGACAUGGUCCAUGAUUGGAGAGACAUUGUUGAGGAUGAGGGAGAUAUCGUCCACAAUCAGAGACGUUGUCCGUGGUCGCAGAGACUUUGUCAAAGAUGAGAGAGACGUUGUCCAUGGUCAGAGACAUUGUCUCUGCUUCGCAGAGCUCUGCGCAAGAAUCGGUAGUGACACUGUGGUUCCUCGAUUCGACGGCAUGACCGCGAUCAGCUGACAUUGUUAAUGAUCACAGAGAAACAGUCUAUCAUCUGAGACUUGGUCCACGAUCGCAGACAUAUUGUCAAUGAUUGCAGAGACUUUGUCCAUAAUCUCAGAGACAUUGUCCGCGAUCACAGAGACGUAGUCCGCGAUCACAGAAGACCAGGUGUCACCACUUCGUCCAUGACAUCGUCCACGAUCGCUGAGCCUUCGUCCAUGAUCGGAGAGACAUUGUUGAGGAUGAGGGAGACAUCGUCCACGAUCAGAGACAUUGUCCAUGACUCGUGGUGACUCGGUCCCCGAUAAGUCGGCAUUGCCGGCGUUCAUGGAGACAUUGUCGAUGAUCGCGGAGACUUUGUCCAUGAUCUCAGAGACAUUGUCCACGGUCGCAGAGAGUCUUCGUACAGUGACGUUCUUUGAGACCAGGACAGAGGCCUCCAGGUGUCACCACUUCGUCCACGACAUCAUCCACGAUCGGAGAGACAUUGUUGAGGAUGAGGGAGACAUCGUCCUCGAUCUGAGACAUUGUCCGUGACUCGUGGUGACUCGGUCCCCGAUAAGUCGGCAUUGCCGGCGUUCAUGGAGACAUUGUCGACGAUCGCAGAGACUUUGUCCAUAAUCUCAGAGACAUUGUCCGCGAUCACAGAGACGUAGUCCACGAUCGCAGACAUGGUCCAUGAUUGGAGAGACAUUGUUGAGGAUGAGGGAGAUAUCGUCCACAAUCAGAGACGUUGUCCGUGGUCGCAGAGACCUUGUCAAAGAUGAGAGAGACGUUGUCCAUGGUCAGAGACAUUGUCUCUGCUUCGCAGAGCUCUGCGCAAGAAUCGGUAGUGACACUGUGGUUCCUCGAUUCGACGGCAUGACCGCGAUCAGCUGACAUUGUUAAUGAUCACAGAGAAACAGUCUAUCAUCAGAGACUUGGUCCACGAUCACAGACAUAUUGUCAAUGAUUGCAGAGACUUUGUCCAUAAUCUCAGAGACAUUGUCCGCGAUCACAGAGACGUAGUCCGCGAUCACAGAAGACCAGGUAUCACCACUUCGUCCAUGACAUCGUCCACGAUCGCUGAGCCUUCGUCCAUGAUCGGAGAGACAUUGUUGAGGAUGAGGGAGACAUCGUCCACGAUCAGAGACAUUGUCCAUGACUCGUGGUGACUCGGUCCCCGAUAAGUCGGCAUUGCCGGCGUUCAUUGAGACAUUGUCGAUGAUCGCGGAGACUUUGUCCAUGAUCUCAGAGACACAUUGUCCACGGUCGCAGAGAGUCUUCGUACAGUGACGUUCUUUGAGACCAGGACAGAGUCCUCCAGGUGUCACCACUUCGUCCACAACAUCAUCCACGAUCGGAGAGACAUUGUUGAGGAUGAGGGAGACAUCGUCCUCGAUCUGAGACAUUGUCCGUGACUCGUGGUGACUCGGUCCCCGAUAAGUCGGCAUUGCCGGCGUUCAUGGAGACAUUGUCGACGAUCGCAGAGACUUUGUCCAUAAUCUCAGAGACAUUGUCCGCGAUCACAGAGACGUAGUCCACGAUCGCAGACAUGGUCCAUGAUUGGAGAGACAUUGUUGAGGAUGAGGGAGAUAUCGUCCACAAUCAGAGACGUUGUCCGUGGUCGCAGAGACCUUGUCAAAGAUGAGAGAGACGUUGUCCAUGGUCAGAGACAUUGUCUCUGCUUCGCAGAGCUCUGCGCAAGAAUCGGUAGUGACACUGUGGUUCCUCGAUUCGACGGCAUGACCGCGAUCAGCUGACAUUGUUAAUGAUCACAGAGAAACAGUCUAUCAUCAGAGACUUGGUCCACGAUCACAGACAUAUUGUCAAUGAUUGCAGAGACUUUGUCCAUAAUCUCAGAGACAUUGUCCGCGAUCACAGAGACGUAGUCCGCGAUCACAGAAGACCAGGUAUCACCACUUCGUCCAUGACAUCGUCCACGAUCGCUGAGCCUUCGUCCAUGAUCGGAGAGACAUUGUUGAGGAUGAGGGAGACAUCGUCCACGAUCAGAGACAUUGUCCAUGACUCGUGGUGACUCGGUCCCCGAUAAGUCGGCAUUGCCGGCGUUCAUGGAGACAUUGUCGAUGAUCGCGGAGACUUUGUCCAUGAUCUCAGAGACACAUUGUCCACGGUCGCAGAGAGUCUUCGUACAGUGACGUUCUUUGAGACCAGGACAGAGUCCUCCAGGUGUCACCACUUCGUCCACGACAUCAUCCACGAUUGCUGAGACGUCGUCCACGAUCGGAGAGACAUUGUUGAGGAUGAGGGAGACAUCGUCCUCGAUCUGAAACAUUGUCCGUGACUCGUGGUGACUCGGUCCCCGAUAAGUCGGCAUUGCCGGCGUUCAUGGAGACAUUGUCGACGAUCGCAGAGACUUUGUCCAUAAUCUCAGAGACAUUGUCCGCGAUCACAGAGACGUAGUCCACGAUCGCAGACAUGGUCCAUGAUUGGAGAGACAUUGUUGAGGAUGAGGGAGAUAUCGUCCACAAUCAGAGACGUUGUCCGUGGUCGCAGAGACCUUGUCAAAGAUGAGAGAGACGUUGUCCAUGGUCAGAGACAUUGUCUCUGCUUCGCAGAGCUCUGCGCAAGAAUCGGUAGUGACACUGUGGUUCCUCGAUUCGACGGCAUGACCGCGAUCAGCUGACAUUGUUAAUGAUCACAGAGAAACAGUCUAUCAUCAGAGACUUGGUCCACGAUCACAGACAUAUUGUCAAUGAUUGCAGAGACUUUGUCCAUAAUCUCAGAGACAUUGUCCGCGAUCACAGAGACGUAGUCCGCGAUCACAGAAGACCAGGUAUCACCACUUCGUCCAUGACAUCGUCCACGAUCGCUGAGCCUUCGUCCAUGAUCGGAGAGACAUUGUUGAGGAUGAGGGAGACAUCGUCCACGAUCAGAGACAUUGUCCAUGACUCGUGGUGACUCGGUCCCCGAUAAGUCGGCAUUGCCGGCGUUCAUUGAGACAUUGUCGAUGAUCGCGGAGACUUUGUCCAUGAUCUCAGAGACACAUUGUCCACGGUCGCAGAGAGUCUUCGUACAGUGACGUUCUUUGAGACCAGGACAGAGUCCUCCAGGUGUCACCACUUCGUCCACAACAUCAUCCACGAUCGGAGAGACAUUGUUGAGGAUGAGGGAGACAUCGUCCUCGAUCUGAGACAUUGUCCGUGACUCGUGGUGACUCGGUCCCCGAUAAGUCGGCAUUGCCGGCGUUCAUGGAGACAUUGUCGACGAUCGCAGAGACUUUGUCCAUAAUCUCAGAGACAUUGUCCGCGAUCACAGAGACGUAGUCCACGAUCGCAGACAUGGUCCAUGAUUGGAGAGACAUUGUUGAGGAUGAGGGAGAUAUCGUCCACAAUCAGAGACGUUGUCCGUGGUCGCAGAGACCUUGUCAAAGAUGAGAGAGACGUUGUCCAUGGUCAGAGACAUUGUCUCUGCUUCGCAGAGCUCUGCGCAAGAAUCGGUAGUGACACUGUGGUUCCUCGAUUCGACGGCAUGACCGCGAUCAGCUGACAUUGUUAAUGAUCACAGAGAAACAGUCUAUCAUCAGAGACUUGGUCCACGAUCACAGACAUAUUGUCAAUGAUUGCAGAGACUUUGUCCAUAAUCUCAGAGACAUUGUCCGCGAUCACAGAGACGUAGUCCGCGAUCACAGAAGACCAGGUAUCACCACUUCGUCCAUGACAUCGUCCACGAUCGCUGAGCCUUCGUCCAUGAUCGGAGAGACAUUGUUGAGGAUGAGGGAGACAUCGUCCACGAUCAGAGACAUUGUCCAUGACUCGUGGUGACUCGGUCCCCGAUAAGUCGGCAUUGCCGGCGUUCAUGGAGACAUUGUCGAUGAUCGCGGAGACUUUGUCCAUGAUCUCAGAGACACAUUGUCCACGGUCGCAGAGAGUCUUCGUACAGUGACGUUCUUUGAGACCAGGACAGAGUCCUCCAGGUGUCACCACUUCGUCCACAACAUCAUCCACGAUCGGAGAGACAUUGUUGAGGAUGAGGGAGACAUCGUCCUCGAUCUGAGACAUUGUCCGUGACUCGUGGUGACUCGGUCCCCGAUAAGUCGGCAUUGCCGGCGUUCAUGGAGACAUUGUCGACGAUCGCAGAGACUUUGUCCAUAAUCUCAGAGACAUUGUCCGCGAUCACAGAGACGUAGUCCACGAUCGCAGACAUGGUCCAUGAUUGGAGAGACAUUGUUGAGGAUGAGGGAGAUAUCGUCCACAAUCAGAGACGUUGUCCGUGGUUGCAGAGACCUUGUCAAAGAUGAGAGAGACGUUGUCCAUGGUCAGAGACAUUGUCUCUGCUUCGCAGAGCUCUGCGCAAGAAUCGGUAGUGACACUGUGGUUCCUCGAUUCGACGGCAUGACCGCGAUCAGCUGACAUUGUUAAUGAUCACAGAGAAACAGUCUAUCAUCAGAGACUUGGUCCACGAUCACAGACAUAUUGUCAAUGAUUGCAGAGACUUUGUCCAUAAUCUCAGAGACAUUGUCCGCGAUCACAGAGACGUAGUCCGCGAUCACAGAAGACCAGGUAUCACCACUUCGUCCAUGACAUCGUCCACGAUCGCUGAGCCUUCGUCCAUGAUCGGAGAGACAUUGUUGAGGAUGAGGGAGACAUCGUCCACGAUCAGAGACAUUGUCCAUGACUCGUGGUGACUCGGUCCCCGAUAAGUCGGCAUUGCCGGCGUUCAUUGAGACAUUGUCGAUGAUCGCGGAGACUUUGUCCAUGAUCUCAGAGACACAUUGUCCACGGUCGCAGAGAGUCUUCGUACAGUGACGUUCUUUGAGACCAGGACAGAGGCCUCCAGGUGUCACCACUUCGUCCACGACAUCAUCCACGAUUGCUGAGACGUCGUCCACGAUCGGAGAGACAUUGUUGAGGAUGAGGGAGACAUCGUCCUCGAUCUGAGACAUUGUCCGUGACUCGUGGUGACUCGGUCCCCGAUAAGUCGGCAUUGCCGGCGUUCAUGGAGACAUUGUCGACGAUCGCAGAGACUUUGUCCAUAAUCUCAGAGACAUUGUCCGCGAUCACAGAGACGUAGUCCACGAUCGCAGACAUGGUCCAUGAUUGGAGAGACAUUGUUGAGGAUGAGGGAGAUAUCGUCCACAAUCAGAGACGUUGUCCGUGGUCGCAGAGACCUUGUCAAAGAUGAGAGAGACGUUGUCCAUGGUCAGAGACAUUGUCUCUGCUUCGCAGAGCUCUGCGCAAGAAUCGGUAGUGACACUGUGGUUCCUCGAUUCGACGGCAUGACCGCGAUCAGCUGACAUUGUUAAUGAUCACAGAGAAACAGUCUAUCAUCAGAGACUUGGUCCACGAUCACAGACAUAUUGUCAAUGAUUGCAGAGACUUUGUCCAUAAUCUCAGAGACAUUGUCCGCGAUCACAGAGACGUAGUCCGCGAUCACAGAAGACCAGGUAUCACCACUUCGUCCAUGACAUCGUCCACGAUCGCUGAGCCUUCGUCCAUGAUCGGAGAGACAUUGUUGAGGAUGAGGGAGACAUCGUCCACGAUCAGAGACAUUGUCCAUGACUCGUGGUGACUCGGUCCCCGAUAAGUCGGCAUUGCCGGCGUUCAUUGAGACAUUGUCGAUGAUCGCGGAGACUUUGUCCAUGAUCUCAGAGACAUUGUCCACGGUCGCAGAGAGUCUUCGUACAGUGACGUUCUUUGAGACCAGGACAGAGGCCUCCAGGUGUCACCACUUCGUCCACGACAUCAUCCACGAUCGGAGAGACAUUGUUGAGGAUGAGGGAGACAUCAUCCUCGAUCUGAGACAUUGUCCGUGACUCGUGGUGACUCGGUCCCCGAUAAGUCGGCAUUGCCGGCGUUCAUGGAGACAUUGUCGACGAUCGCAGAGACUUUGUCCAUAAUCUCAGAGACAUUGUCCGCGAUCACAGAGACGUAGUCCACGAUCGCAGACAUGGUCCAUGAUUGGAGAGACAUUGUUGAGGAUGAGGGAGAUAUCGUCCACAAUCAGAGACGUUGUCCGUGGUUGCAGAGACCUUGUCAAAGAUGAGAGAGACGUUGUCCAUGGUCAGAGACAUUGUCUCUGCUUCGCAGAGCUCUGCGCAAGAAUCGGUAGUGACACUGUGGUUCCUCGAUUCGACGGCAUGACCGCGAUCAGCUGACAUUGUUAAUGAUCACAGAGAAACAGUCUAUCAUCAGAGACUUGGUCCACGAUCACAGACAUAUUGUCAAUGAUUGCAGAGACUUUGUCCAUAAUCUCAGAGACAUUGUCCGCGAUCACAGAGACGUAGUCCGCGAUCACAGAAGACCAGGUAUCACCACUUCGUCCAUGACAUCGUCCACGAUCGCUGAGCCUUCGUCCAUGAUCGGAGAGACAUUGUUGAGGAUGAGGGAGACAUCGUCCACGAUCAGAGACAUUGUCCAUGACUCGUGGUGACUCGGUCCCCGAUAAGUCGGCAUUGCCGGCGUUCAUUGAGACAUUGUCGAUGAUCGCGGAGACUUUGUCCAUGAUCUCAGAGACAUUGUCCACGGUCGCAGAGAGUCUUCGUACAGUGACGUUCUUUGAGACCAGGACAGAGGCCUCCAGGUGUCACCACUUCGUCCACGACAUCAUCCACGAUCGGAGAGACAUUGUUGAGGAUGAGGGAGACAUCAUCCUCGAUCUGAGACAUUGUCCGUGACUCGUGGUGACUCGGUCCCCGAUAAGUCGGCAUUGCCGGCGUUCAUGGAGACAUUGUCGACGAUCGCAGAGACUUUGUCCAUAAUCUCAGAGACAUUGUCCGCGAUCACAGAGACGUAGUCCACGAUCGCAGACAUGGUCCAUGAUUGGAGAGACAUUGUUGAGGAUGAGGGAGAUAUCGUCCACAAUCAGAGACGUUGUCCGUGGUUGCAGAGACCUUGUCAAAGAUGAGAGAGACGUUGUCCAUGGUCAGAGACAUUGUCUCUGCUUCGCAGAGCUCUGCGCAAGAAUCGGUAGUGACACUGUGGUUCCUCGAUUCGACGGCAUGACCGCGAUCAGCUGACAUUGUUAAUGAUCACAGAGAAACAGUCUAUCAUCUGAGACUUGGUCCACGAUCACAGACAUAUUGUCAAUGAUUGCAGAGACUUUGUCCAUAAUCUCAGAGACAUUGUCCGCGAUCACAGAGACGUAGUCCGCGAUCACAGAAGACCAGGUAUCACCACUUCGUCCAUGACAUCGUCCACGAUCGCUGAGCCUUCGUCCAUGAUCGGAGAGACAUUGUUGAGGAUGAGGGAGACAUCGUCCACGAUCAGAGACAUUGUCCAUGACUCGUGGUGACUCGGUCCCCGAUAAGUCGGCAUUGCCGGCGUUCAUUGAGACAUUGUCGAUGAUCGCGGAGACUUUGUCCAUGAUCUCAGAGACACAUUGUCCACGGUCGCAGAGAGUCUUCGUACAGUGACGUUCUUUGAGACCAGGACAGAGGCCUCCAGGUGUCACCACUUCGUCCACGACAUCAUCCACGAUUGCUGAGACAUUGUCCAUGCUUCGUAAAGACAUGCGCAAGAAUCAGCAGAGACUGGGGUCACCGAUUCAACGGCUUCAACUACGAUCAUGGACACAUUGUCCGCGAUCACAGAGUCUUCCUACAAUGAAGAAGUUCUUUGAGACCAGGACAGAGGCCUCCAGGUGAUGCUGCCGCCUCCUCCUCCUCCUCCUGCUCAUCCUCCUGCUCAUCCUCAUGAUUGUUUAUCUCUGACUUCCUGUGCUGAGAAGAAAUAACAUCACUCGAUACAGCAUCCUAAUGUACUGUAUAUGUGUGUGGUACAUCAGCUGUACAGCUGCUUAACACAGCCCCGAGGAUGGUCGGCUGCCCUCUCCCACACUGGAACAACUGCUACAGUUCCCUCUGUCUCAGAAAAGCCCCGAACAUUCUAAAGGACACUUCUCACUCUGGACACGCUCUGUUUGAACUGCUGCUGGCAGGCAGACGCUACAGAUCACUGAAAACAAAGACAAACAGAUUCAAGAAUAGCAAUCAUUACACUCAGUACAGCUAAAUUCAUAACCUGAGGUGCAAUAAGGCACUGUGCAAUGACAACAGAAUGUGUGUGUAUGUGUGUGUGCUUUUUUAAAACUGUUUUUUAUUGCAUCUUAUUUAUUUUCUUCUAUUUUAGGAAUGAUGGAAUGAUGUAUCGACUUGUUGGCAUUUUACAUUUUGU